GUAUUCUAUGGGGUGCAAGCUUUAAAUGUAACUUAAGUACUAAUUUAUUUUAACACACUCCUAUGUAAUUCGUGCUUUACUGCUAGCCAACAUGAAUAUUAUAUA
rfam:Chlorocebus sabaeus isolate 1994-021 chromosome 6, whole genome shotgun sequence.